GGAGAGGUGCCAGAGUGGCCGAAUGGACUGGUUUUGAAAACCAGCGUCCUUCACGGGACCGUGGGUUCAAAUCCCACCCUCUCCGCCA
rnacentral:tRNA from 1 species